ensembl:misc_RNA Y_RNA Y RNA
GACUGAGCAGAAGAUUCUGAGUUCUUGCCAUUGGUUGUUCACAGUCGGUUACAGGUGGAACUCCUUGUUCUACUCUUUCCCCCUUCCCACCACUGCACUUGACUAGUCUAAA